ensembl:lncRNA
GCGCAGGUCACCUUCUGCUCUGGGACUGCUCUACAGGGACAGGUCCCACAUGGUGGCCUCGAGUUUGCUCAGCGCCAGCUGACAUCCCCAAAUUCCUCUCAGACUGGGUGCUUUGCGUUCUGCAUCACCCAUGCCGAUCUGCCUUCGGACUCCUUCCUACACUUCCAGGGUUGCCAAAUGUAGGAUGCUCGUGCGAAGGUUCCGUGGCCUAGCUGGAUGGCCUUCUUCCUUGUUCUGUGGAGGAGGCUUAAAACUCACCUUUUCUGAGAAGCCUUCCUUGAUUAACCCAGUUCAUCCUUCCAUUUGGAUUCUCCAGAGAAAUAGGAUCAAUUGAAUGACUAUCUAUCAUCUAUCUAUCUAAUAAGGGUCUCAGGGAGUAGAAGACCCAUCUGCCUCUGGCUUUGAGGGCUCAGAUAGAUGUGACCUGCUGCCACCUUCAGGACCCGGAAGCAGGAUAUGGGCCUCUUCCUGGGACAUCCUAUCUCCAGAGAAAGCCUUCUGGAUCUCAGAACUUCUCACUUGGGGUCAUCUGCUGCCAGUACCCCUUUUUCUCCCAAUGUCCCAUCUUCCGGGGUGAGCUUCCUG